rnacentral:rRNA from 1 species
GAUGCUAGUUUCUAGAGAUAGAAAGUUACUUCGGUACAUCGGUGACAGGUGGUGCAUGGUUGUCGUCAGCUCGUGUCGUGAGAUGUUGGGUUAAGUCCCGCAACGAGCGCAACCCCUAUUGUUAGUUUGCCAUCAUUCAGUUGGGCACUCUAGCGAGACUGCCGGUAAUAAACCGGAGGAAGGUGGGGAUGACGUCAAAUCAUCAUGCCCCUUAUGACCUGGGCUACACACGUGCUACAAUGGUUGGUACAACGAGUUGCGAGUCGGUGACGGCGAGCUAAUCUCUUAAAGCCAAUCUCAGUUCGGAUUGUAGGCUGCAACUCGCCUACAUGAAGUCGGAAUCGCUAGUAAUCGCGGAUCAGCACGCCGCGGUGAAUACGUUCCCGGGCCUU